GCUGGGCAAAUGAGGAAUCUCAUUUUCAUAAUGGGUAAUUUGCGUCUGAGGAUUCAAUUCCAUUGAUGCUUUCACCUUGGAGAUCUGAUGCCCGUU